rnacentral:rRNA from 1 species
UUUCGUACGUCAACCUGCGGAAGGAUCAUUGUCGAAACCCCAGAGGAACGACCCGCGCACGCGUAAAUUAACKAACCGGGGGCGUCRAGAAGCGCUUCCUGCCGGUCGCCUUCUCCUCUCCCCCGUCUGCCGGGCCGGCCCCGUCCCGACGUCGCUCGUCGUUCGUCGGUCGGCGGCGCCGUGUCCGGCGGAGUCAACCCAAACCCGGGCGCAGGAUGCGCCAAGGAAAAUGGACAUAAGAGCGAUCACCACGCCCUCCCCAAGCGCUCGCUCCGUCGGCGCGGGGGAGGCGGUKUCGUCAUCGGCAAAGAUGACUCUCGGCAACGGAUAUCUCGGCUCUCGCAUCGAUGAAGAACGUAGCGAAAUGCGAUACUUGGUGUGAAUUGCAGAAUCCCGUGAACCAUCGAGUCUUUGAACGCAAGUUGCGCCCGAGGCCAUUAAGGUCGAGGGCACGUCUGUCUGGGCGUCGCACGUCGCGUCACCCGCCAGCCUUCCUCCCUCGAGGGGGCGGGACGGGUGGACUAUGGCCUCCCGUGCCUCGGUACAGAGGCGCGGUUGGCCCAAAUCGGAAGCCGGGGCGACGGAUGCCGCGACAAUGGGUGGUAUCGGCAAUSCGGUUACGACGACUUGUCGCGGCCCCUCUGCCCGACCUMGCUUGGUCCGACGCCGGCCGUGCGUCCUCGGAGGCACUGUAUGGCGACCCCACAUGNNUGUGGAUCACAC